rnacentral:rRNA from 1 species
CCUACGGGUGGCUGCAGUGAGGAAUAUUGGUCAAUGGACGAGAGUCUGAACCAGCCAAGUAGCGUGCAGGAUGACUGCCCUAUGGGUUGUAAACUUCUUUUAUAUGGGAAUAAAAUGUUCCACGUGUGGGAUUUUGUAUGUACGAUAUGAAUAAGGAUCGGCUAACUCCGUGCCAUCCGCCGCGGUAAUACGGUGGAUCCGAGCGUUAUCUGGAUUUAUUGGGUUUAAAGGGAGCGUAGGUGUGUUGUUAAGUCAGUUGUGAAAGUUUGAGGCGCAACCGUAAAAUUGCAGUUGAAACUAGCAGUCUAGAGUACAGUAGAGGUAGGCGGAAUUCGUGGUGUAGCGGUGAAAUGCUUAGAUAUCACGAAGAACUCCGAUUGCGAAGGCAGCUCACUGGACUGCAACUGACACUGAGGCUCGAAAGUGUGGGUAUCAAACAGGAUUAGAUACCCGGGUAGUC